UACGUAGGUGGCGAGCGUUGUCCGGAUUUAUUGGGUUUAAAGGGUGCGUAGGCGGCCCUGUAAGUCAGUGCUGAAAUAUCCCGGCUUAACUGGGAGGGUGGCAUUGAUACUGUGGGGCUAGAGUCCGGAAGAGGAUCGCGGAAUUCCCGGUGUAGAGGUGAAAUUCGUAGAUAUCGGGAGGAACACCAGUGGCGAAGGCGGCGACCUGGGCAGAUACUGACACUGAGGUGCGAAAGCGUGGGGAGCAAACAGGG
rnacentral:rRNA from 1 species